ACUUGAAGGCAGCGCAGUAGUCGCGCCAGACGCACGCACAAAGAGACCCAGGGCAGAAAGGGAAACUGACGCGGGCCGGGCACCGGCGCCUGGCGGUAGCAUCGAAGCCAUGCCGUCUCGCCUGUCGCCGAUUGCUGGCUGACAGCCUGACAGGCGAUGAGCAUGCAUGUACAAAGGCAAACAGGGAUCGACCGAGGAGGCAAAACGCAGGGGCAGCGUGCCUCACGCGCUCAAGACGGCGGCACACGCCGCACACCCCAAUGCACAUGAAAGAAGGACAGGUCCAUCGAGGUGAUCACAGGACCAAGACGGAGGGCAGCAUCUCGCUGCGCCGGCGUCAAGCCACAUAUGCAGAACAGGAGUACAGGUAAUUAACCAUCGAGCAAGACAGGUUCCAAUGCCAAGACGAACAGGUUCAUGGCGCCCCCAAGGCGAGCAGGUCCAGGGACAUCAAGGCUACGUGGCCGUCUUGACCGCGGCCACGCCCACAACGACACGUGCUCGUGCAAGCCUCCAAGUGUACCACAUGCUGGCGCCCGCCCGAUGCGGGACGCCAUCUUCACCACAACCCGUCGACGUCCGCCUGAACACCAUCAUGCGUGAUGGUGCGGAUGUGGGCGACGUCUACAUAGUGCCCGUUUCACGCGGAGCGCUACCUCAAUGAACAGGAUGAGUUGGCGCACAGGUUGUCUUAGCACGAGAGGCAUUCACUUGAACGCCGCCGUCAUCAGCAACAGGUUGUUCGAGUCAGCGGGAGGCGCCCGUUGGCCCGGAGGUCUCCUUCAACUGUCAAACUUCGUCGCUAGCGGCAGCCUUCUACUUGGUGUCCAUUGAGACACCGCUACACAAGGCGCCAGCCGUCUUGGCGCUUCCUUCACCGACCCGGUGUCGUGCCGCCGCUGCGCAUGGUGGCUUUCUACUUGGUGUUCGUCAAGACACCGACACAUAGGGCGCCUGUCUUGGCGCAUUCUUCACCGACUCGACGUCGUGCAAGACGGUGCCGCUCGUGGCGGCCUUCUACGCGGUGUUGCUGAGACACCGCAGCUGACGGCGCCCGCUUCGGCGCACUUUUCACAGGUUAUCACCAUGCUAAGACACCCACGGCUCGUGGCGGCCUUCUACUUGGUGUCCGCCGAGACACCCCCAUACAGGGCGCCACCCUUGGCAUAUCCUUCACAGGUUAGCAUCGUGCCGCUCUGCCUUUUACAUGGUGUCCGUUGAGACACCACAUACACGGUGCCUGGCUUGGCACACUCUUCACUAACUUGGCAUCGGUACGCCACCACUCGUGGCGGCCUUCUACGCGGUGUCUGCUGAGACACCACCAAACAGGGCGCCUGUCUUGGCGCACUCUUCACCAACUUGCAGUACAUCGUCGCUCGUGGCGGCCUUCUACAUGGUGUCCGUCGAGACACUGCCAUACAGGCGCCCAAGCUUCCUUCACCAACUCCUGACGAGGUCUUGCACCUCCGAUAGCAUCUACAUCAUCGUAUUCAACAUCAAGUCUACUCCCUCAUUCGCAUUGCCGAUGGCAUUCCGGCAUCCAAGCAUCUUCUCCAACACCGACUAAGCACCGGUGAGGUGAAGCCACUCCACCGACAUGUUCGCGUACCGAUGAAGUACAUCACCACAUCACAUGCUCUUGCUGGGCACCGACGCUAGGCAAAAGCAAGACAUCCUGUCCGGUCCGACGAGGCGGACAUUUUACAGGCUGGGUACCGACGAGGCGAAGGCCACUUCAUCAGCCUGUCUAGCUGACAAGGCGCGUGUCAGCUAGACCCUUCAUCGUACAUCGAUAAGACGACGUGGCAUGCCGUUCGGCACCUGCACGGUCGAACGGUCGUGGCUUAGCAUCGACGGAGCGGGGUCGUACCACCCCUCUCUUCCUCUUCAUCACCACCAUCUUUUGCACCAAGCACAAGAAGACAAGACUUGAAGACGACACCAUUGUAGCAGCUUAAUCGGAGGUGGUCUGCAGGCUUGACCAGCGGACGUAAUUAAGCGGGAGCUUUCCGAGGCCCUGUGAACCAAGAGACUACAAUCGCCCAUGUCAUGUUGGGCGUGCUAGCAGGCCACACAGAGCGCACUUUUCAUAAGGGAACAUGUAAUUUCAUUUCUCUACAUGAGAUUAAUAAAAUACAUGUUUUCCUACUUUGUCUUUUUUUAUUUGUGUACAUUAGUACACUGGCACGCCCGCACCUUUUCAUUCCCCCGGAGUGUUGAGAAAAUACAUUCUCUGCCUUAGAGUUUCGUUAUUUUUCUCACCAAACACUC